rnacentral:rRNA from 1 species
UCGAGGAUCUUCGUCAAUGGGCGCAAGCCUGAACGAGCGACGCCGCGUGUGCGAUGAAGGCCUCGGGUUGUAAAGCACUGUCGAGGGGGACCAAAGCCGAAAGGUUUGAUCGAUCCCUGGAGGAAGCACGGGCUAAGUUCGUGCCAGCAGCCGCGGUAAGACGAACCGUGCGAACGUUGUUCGGAAUCACUGGGCUUAAAGGGCGCGUAGGCGGCUCGCGAGGUCGGGGGUGAAAUCCCACGGCUUAACCGUGGAAGGGCCUUCGAUACCGGCGGGCUGGAGGAAGGUAGGGGUGCGCGGAACUUCCGGUGGAGCGGUGAAAUGUGUUGAUAUCGGAAGGAACGCCGGUGGCGAAAGCGACACACUGGAUCUUGUCUGACGCUGAGGCACGAAAGCCAGGGGAGCGAACGGGAUUAGAUACCCGGGU